AAGUCCCGCAACGAGCGCAACCCCUGCAUUCACGGUUGCCAUCGGGUAAUGCCGGGCACUCUGGAAGGACUGCCAUCGACAAGAUGGAGGAAGGUGGGGAUGACGUCAAGUCAUCAUGGCCCUUAUGUCCAGGGCGACACACGUGCUACAAUGGCCGGCACAACGGGAAGCGAGUUCGCGAGGACGAGCGGAUCCCUCAAAGCCGGUCGCAGUUCGGAUUGAAGUCUGCAACUCGACUUCAUGAAGCUGGAAUCGCUAGUAAUCGUGGAUCAGCCAAGCCGCGGUGAAUACGUUCCCGGGCCUU
rnacentral:rRNA from 1 species